rnacentral:rRNA from 1 species
GGCCCCCUACGGGAGGCAGCAGGGAAUAUUGCUCAAUGGGGGAAACCCUGAAGCAGCAACGCCGCGUGGAGGAUGAAGGUUUUAGGAUUGUAAACUCCUUUUGUUAGAGAAGAUUAUGACGGUAUCUAACGAAUAAGCACCGGCUAACUCCGUGCCAGCAGCCGCGGUAAUACGGAGGGUGCAAGCGUUACUCGGAAUCACUGGGCGUAAAGAGUGCGUAGGCGGGGUAAUAAGUCAGAUGUGAAAUCCUGUAGCUUAACUACAGAACUGCAUUUGAAACUGUUACUCUGGAGUGUGGGAGAGGG